UGGGGAAUUUUGCGCAAUGGGCGAAAGCCUGACGCAGCAAUGCCGCGUGGGUGAAGAAGGCCUUUGGGUCGUAAAGCCCUUUUCUGAGGGAAGAGACUGACGGUACCUCAGGAAUAAGCACCGGCUAACUCCGUGCCAGCAGCCGCGGUAAUACGGAGGGUGCAAGCGUUGUUCGGAUUUACUGGGCGUAAAGGGCGUGUAGGCGGAUGCGUCAGCCGGUGGUGAAAGGCCCGGGCCCAACUCGGGCAGGUCUGCCGGAACUGCGCAUCUAGAGAGGGUCAGAGGCAGGUGGAAUUCCGGGUGUAGAGGUGAAAUUCGUAGAGAUCCGGAGGAACACCGGCGGCGAAGGCGGCCUGCUGGGGCCCAUCUGACGCUGAGGCGCGAAAGCGUGGGGAGCAAACAGGAUUAGAUACCCCCGUAGUCC
rnacentral:rRNA from 1 species